GACGAACGCUGGCGGCGUGCUUAACACAUGCAAGUCGAACGGAAAGGCCCUGCUUUUGUGGGGUGCUCGAGUGGCGAACGGGUGAGUAACACGUGAGUAACCUGCCCUUGACUUUGGGAUAACUUCAGGAAACUGGGGCUAAUACCGGAUAGGAGCUCCUGCUGCAUGGUGGGGGUUGGAAAGUUUCGGCGGUUGGGGAUGGACUCGCGGCUUAUCAGCUUGUUGGUGGGGUAGUGGCUUACCAAGGCUUUGACGGGUAGCCGGCCUGGGAGGGUGAACAGCGACAAUGGGACUGAGAUACGGCCCAGACUCCUACGGGAGGCAGCAGUGGGGAAUCUUGCACAAUGAGCGGAAGCCUGAGGCAGCAACGCCGCGUGCGGAAUGACGGCCUUCGGGUUGGAAACCGCUUUCGCCUGUGACGAAGCGUGAGUGACGGUAAUGGGUAAAGAAGCACCGGCUAACUACGUG
rnacentral:rRNA from 1 species